ACCUCUGAUCCAUAAGAGAGCCUGGCAUCUGGAUCCCAGACGGUCACUUUGAGAGGUAAUUGUGAGAAGGCACAUUAAGACAUGCCAGCGUCCUGCUCCUCAUCCAAAUCCAUCCCCGCCCCUGAGAUCUGAGCAUCACUGAUGACGCCCUGAGCAUCACUGAUGACCUUGCCUGGGCCGCUCUGUACAGGGAUGGCCACCGAGUGAAGACCCCUCAGUCCAGCCCUCCCUCUACUUCAUCAGCUGCACGGUCAUGCCGCAGCAGCAGAUGCAAGGGCACCCAGAGACUGGGGCUUCACAGCUCAGCCCAGAGGAGAAGCAGAGAUGCGGAGCGGUGAGCACAGAGAACGGGCCGCGUGCUGCAUACAGCAUGCGGGAGAGAGCGGCCCGGGUCUGGGCCCUCCGGCGUCGCCAGGGUGAGGACGCCCAGGAGCUGUUUGCUGUUUGCUGUGUGCUCCGUCGUCAGUCGUGUCUGACUCUUUGUGACUCCAUGGACUGUAGCCCGCCAGGCUCCUCCAUCCUUCGGAGUCUCCAGGCAAGAAAACUGGAGUGGGUCGUCAUUUCCUUCUCCAGGGGAUCUUCCCGACCGAGGCACGGAACCCGCAUUCUCUUGCAUCUCCUGCGUCGGAAGGCAGGUGCUUUACCCCGUUGCCACCUGGGCAGCCUGAGGAUGCCCAGGACAGAAGCAGCUAAAUCGCCCUGGGACCCUGGAGACCCUGCGGGACCACAGCAGGGAGGCAUGUGGGACUGGAGGACCGGCCAGGGCCCCUCAGGCUGACUCCUGAGCGGGUGCUGACAGACAUCAGGGUCGACGCACAGUGGACACAGACACGAUGGAUGCUCUUUGCCCCCCUCAGAUACCCACCCCACCCCCUCCGCCUCUUCAAUCCUUCGUUUCUCAGCCGUCAGCUCAACACGCCCCUCCCAGACAGGCACCUGCCCUCAACCAGCUCACCCCAGGCUUCUCCAAAGUCCCAAGGCUUUAAAUAUAAUCUCCCAAAGUAACUGAAUUCUUAUUGGACACUCAAGAGAAUAAACUCUCAUUUUAUGUUUCUAUCAUAGCUAACUGAGUCCGAAUGAAAAUUUCCUCACCUUUAAAAACGGCAGGGCCGUCUCGGUUCAUUCAAAGCGAGUAAUGUACAUUCCUGCCACAAGUUGAAAUGAACCCACAUGUUCGGCAAGAAAGAAUACUGUGGAAACCAGAAUUGAAAGAGACACGUGUACUCCAAUGUUCAUCGCAGCACUGUUUACAAUAGCCAGGACACGGAAGCAACCUAGAUGUCCAUCGGCAGAUGAAUGGAUAAGAAAGCUGUGGUACAUAUACACAAUGGAGUAUUACUCAGCCAUUAAAAAGAAGGCAUUUGAAUCAGUUCUAAUGAGGUGGAUGAAACUGGAGCCCAUUAUACAGAGUGAAGUAAGUCAGAAAGAAAAACACCAAUACAGUAUACUAACGCAUAUACACGGAAUUUAGAAAGAUGGUAAUGAUGACCCUGUACGCAAGACAGCAAAAGAGACACAGAUGUAAAUAACAGACUUUUGGACUCUGUGGGAGAAGGUGAGGGUGGGAUGAUUUGAGAGAACAGCACUGAAACAUGUAUAUUAUCAUUUGUGAAACAGAUCGCCAGUCCAGGUUUGAUGCAUGAUACAGGGUGCUCAGGGCUGGUGCACUGGGAUAACCCAGAGGGAUGGGAUGGGGGGGAGGUGGGAGGGGGUUCAGGAUGGGGCCACAUGGACACCCAUGGCUGAUUCAUGUCAAUGCACAGCAAAAACCACCAAAAUAUUGUAAAGUAAUUAGCC
rnacentral:lncRNA from 1 species